UCCGGACUCCUACGGGAGCCGGACUUCAUCCCUGACUUCAGCAGCAGGAAGACUUCGUCCGGACUCCUACGGGAGACGGAUUUCGUCUCCGACUCCAACUACAAGAAGACUUCGUCUGGACUCCUACGAGAGCCGGACUUCAUCCCCGACUCCGGUUGCAGAAAGCCUUCGUCCGGACUCCUACGGGAGUCGGACUUCAUCCCCGACUUCAGCAGC
rnacentral:lncRNA from 1 species